rnacentral:misc_RNA from 1 species
GAUGAAGAACGCAGUGAAAUGCGAUAAGUAAUGUGAAUUGCAGAAUUCAGUGAAUCAUCGAAUCUUUGAACGCACAUUGCGCCCCCUGGUAUUCCGGGGGGCAUGCCUGUCCGAGCGUCAUUACAACCCUCAAGCUCAGCUUGGUGUUGGGCCCCGCCGCCCCGGCGGGCCCUAAAGUCAGUGGCGGUGCCGUCCGGCUCCGAGCGUAGUAAUUCUUCUCGCUCUGGAGGCCCGGUCGUGUGCUCGCCAGCAACCCCCAAUUUUUUUCAGGUUGACCUCGGAUCAGGUAGGGAUACCCGCUGAACUUAAGCAUAUCAAUAAGCGGAGGA